GUGCAUGUACAUGGGAUUCCUACCUGCUACUCGGACCUGGUUGGGGGCACAGGCCCGGCAGGGAAGGACCCGGAACUCCUCGGCCUGGUACAUGGAGUAGUCGGUGCUGGCCACCACCACCGUGUCCCCAGGCUUCCACGACCGCACGUCAGCCUCCAGCGUCAGGAGUGUGCUGUUGACGUGGGUGUCGAUGGUGACGGUGAGCUUGGG